AUACAGGGGGUGCGAGCGUUAAUCGGAAUUACUGGGCGUAAAGAGUACGUAGGCGGUUGCUUAAGUCAGAUGUGAAAGCCCCGGGCUCAACCUGGGAACUGCAUUUGAAACUGAGUGACCAGAGUUUAAGAGAGGGGAGUAGAAUUCCGGGUGUAGCGGUGAAAUGCGUAGAGAUCCGGAGGAAUACCAGUGGCGAAGGCGGCUCCCUGGCUUAAAACUGACGCUGAGGUACGAAAGCGUGGGUAGCAAACAGGAUUAGAUACCCUAGUAGUCC
rnacentral:rRNA from 1 species